rnacentral:rRNA from 1 species
UACGAAGGUCCCAAGCGUUAUCCGGAUUUAUUGGGUUUAAAGGGUGCGUAGGCGGGCUAUUAAGUCAGUGGUGAAAGCCCCAAGCUUAACUUGGGAACUGCCAUUGAUACUGAUGGUCUUGAGUACAUUUGAGGUGGGCGGAAUGUGUCAUGUAGCGGUGAAAUGCUUAGAUAUGACACAGAACACCGAUUGCGAAGGCAGCUCACUAAACUGUAACUGACGCUGGAGGCACGGAAAGCGUGGGGAGCAAACAGG